rnacentral:rRNA from 1 species
AUGGAGGAUGCUAAUGCAGUAGUAGAUUGGAAUGUUGACAUUAUUGGCCCAGAUGGUGGUAGCGGUGCUUGCCGCAAAUUGGCAAAAACUGAAGACCCCGAUGCCACCGAGUGUUCAAGUUCCUUUGGGGACACACUAUCUGGAUCUCAGGAUGAUGCAAAGCCUUCAGAGAUUAGUGACAUUGAAGUAGACUCACCAUUCUGCCGAUAUCCUCAUAAUGGUGAUGCUGCUGCACUCUUGGAUGCAGCUGCUGCUGACAAUUUGGAUAGAUUAUUGAAAAAGAAAAAAGUGACUGAUCAUUGGAGAAGCUAUAUCAGCCCAUUAAUGUGGAGAUGCCAAUGGUUAGAGCUGCGGAUGAAAGACUUGCAAUCUCAAGUAUCCAGAUAUGACAGGGAGCUUGCAGUACUUAAACAUGAGAAAGAGUUGCAGACAAAAAUGAUUGAGUUGGACUGUUCCUCGUCGAGAUCAGUGCCCUUCUCUUCUCAUUGCUGCAGGAAGACUAUGAAGAGGAAGAAGAGAAAGAGAAAUGAGGAGAAAAUCAAUGCUCCCUCAUACAUCGCAACCCACACCAUAUUGUCUUAUUAUGAAAAAGAGAAAACGGAAGGUGAUGGCCAUUCUAUCGACGACAAUGGAAACUUAGAUGACAGCACAAAAGGAAAUAAUGACGCUGACUGGCUACUCGGUAAUGGAGACGAUGCUACUGUCGAGCAGAUUCUUGUAAGCAUUCAGUCUGUUCAAGACAGGGUUUGUAGUCUGAGAUCAGAUCUCAAGAAAGCAAUGGCCAAGAAGAGUAAGGGGCUUCUCCUUAAAGUCAACACACAGGUCAAUGGCGCACAGAGCUCUAAUUGCUCACAUGGAAAAGGCAAAGUUACUGAGAUGCCUGAAAUAUCACCUCAAGAUGCAUCGGAUUGUGAUAUGGGCGAUACGGACAUGCCCGAUAGUGCUGUCUCAAGCUAUGGAGAAGCUAACAAUAUGGAUAUUUUUGAGAGCACGAUGAACCUAUUGUCAGUUGAAGAUCCAGAUAAAAUUGGUGAACUACACCAGACUUCGGAAGAUGUAUUGAUCGACAACCAACCAGCUGAGGAAGGGUAUCAAAAUUUUGAGGUGAUCAGUCACCCAUGCCAGCGACUACGGGUAUCAGUCAAGAGGGAACAGGUACCUGUCAAGAGAGAAACUGUAGCACAUUCUGAGGAUGAGAGCGUCGCCGCCCCCAUGGCGGUCGUCAAGGAAGAAGGCGGCACAACCAGGAUGGGCCUCCAGGGGAUCUUGAAGCCCUGCUACACGGGCAAGAGAAAAGGGAGGAGGCCGAAGAUUCUAAGGCGCGGUGGUUCAUCAUCUGCUCUCAGCUCAUGGAGGAGCGCCCGGACUCGAAAGAAGAGGAAAUCGUAG